UGACAUAUUGAAAGAAUAUGACAAUGCUGAGAAAGAUUUUACAACAGCAUUUGAGAUCAACCCUGGCGAUUACGCAACUUUAAAGAAGAGAGCAGAUGUCCGAGGAAAAUUGGGUCACCGGGAGGCAGCGGUGGAGGACUACAGAGCAGCUCUCUUGCUCCAUGAGCAAACUGUAGGAAGAAGAAGAAGAGCAAAGUAGCCACUGUGAUGUUUUAGUGUGUCUUCAUUUUUUGGCACUUUUUAUUUCAUAAAAUUUAGUAAAUAAAUAAGUAUUGUGCACUUUA